GAAAGAUUAAAAAUGAGGAAAAAACUGGUGGCCACAAGACCCAAUGUUGGGCGAUGAGUAUUGAAAGUGGAGCAAUAAUUACCAAUAAAUUAGUUCUAAACUGGUCAGGGUAUGGUGAUUUGGACUCAGAAAAAUCUGAGCUGUGGGAUCCUGGUUCCUGGCUGAGUCACUGAAUUUCUCUGUCUUCAUUUGUUUCACGUUUAAAGUGGGCAUAAUAAUAUCCUUAUUAUCGGACUUUGUGAGGAUUAAAUGAAAUCGCUCACGUGAAGGCCUUGGCAGGGCCCGGCCCACAGUCAGUGCCCAUGGAUGCCACUGAUGUUCGUGCCUAUCGAGAUUUACCACAGCUGCCAUUUGUGACUCAGCCUGCAGCUUGAAAAUAAUAGCUGAUCAAUUUUCUGAAAGAUUAGCUUCUGAAAUUUUUAACAUUUAACUUAAAUUUAGCAGAAACAUAAAAAUUUUAGAAAUAUGAACUUGCAAAAGACUGUGCUUUUUAUGGGUAAACCUUGAGAUAACCCAGAAGCAAAUCUUCAAGUUUUGCAGAGGAUAACUUUCAGGUGAACAAUUUGUGAAGUUUAAAAGCAAAUGAAGGCAACCAUAUCUGAUAAUAUACCAGGCUUUGCAUUCCUUCAUUAUUUUAUGAUACUUCAUCAAAGUUUGUAGGUAUAAUUAGGCAAAGUAAACCAAAAUGUGUACAGCUUUAGAUGUUACGAUACUUCUGACAGCAAUAUUCAGAUGCUGAUGGACGCUGCGUUCUCUCACUCCAAGAUGUGUGUGAUACUCCAGAUGUGUGUGAUAUCCAGAUGUGUGUGAUACUCCAGAUGUGUGUGAUAUCCAGAUGUGUGUGAUACUCCAGAUAUGUGUGUGAUAUCCAGAUGUGUGUGAUAUCCAGAUGUGUGUGAUAUCCAGAUGUGUGUUAUAUCCAGAUGUGUGUGAUACUCUAGAUGUCUGGCGAUCGGUCUGAACUCACCACUAAAGUAUCUGUGAAUUUGUGAUUCUGAAGGUUCUGUGGAUGACAGAGGUCUGAGAAUUUGGUGUCAAUCUUAGAAAAAGCCUGAAAAGCACCCCUAUAAUUUUGCACAGUGUGUCUAGGGUCACAGACACUCAGACAAUUCGUGACCCAGCAGCUGUGGAUCCCAGACUGUGAGUCCCGGGCUGCAUCGUAAGGAAGGGUUGUCUGAGGGUUCUCAGGGGCUGUCUUCAGGAUGCCUCGUUCUGGGUUCUGGACACGUGGGAACAUUUGGAGGAGCAGAAACUUCCCGGCUGCAGCUAGGAGUGCAGGUUUCCGGCCUGCCUAGCGGAAAGCUCACUUUAGGACAAGUCACUUCUCUGAGGGAUCUGCCUUAGUACCUGUUCUCACUAACCCAGAAAAAUCAGAAGAGGAUUUUUGGUUUUAUGAGGCAAUUGGAAACAGCCUGCGCGUUUGUUUGCAGUGGGCGUUCCAGGGCGGCGGCCCCCAGCACCGCGCACUCCCUCCCCCACCAUCCCCCAGCUUCACCAUCCCCCAGAUGUCUGAGCAUCUGGUUCCUAGCCUGUACUGUGAUGGCCGGCAGUCUGGGUCUGGGGAAGCUCAGGAACGUUUCCCACAUCAAUUAAUGGAGAAGGAAAAACGACUCCACGGUGCUGUGUGGGGUCCCCGUCUCUGCGCAGCAGUCAUGCUCCAGGGAGGGGCUCUGUGGAUCCAGAUGCAGCUGAAACAGAACAACACAAGUGGAAAACGGAGAAAAAAAAGGUUGCAAAGGAUUAAAAGUCCAUUUACUGAUAUUUUAUAUUCUACUGUGCACAGUCUUUGCAUAAGAAAAUUUCAAGAACGGAGAUGGGCCCUAAAACAGCCCUCAAAAGCUGCUGCUUCAGCGUGUGGCCCUCGCUGGGCUCUCCAGCACCCAUCACUGACCACGUGGCGUUUGCUCUAGAGAAUCGACAUGUCUGACUGUGGUCUUCCAUCCCUCGUGGCUCUCUGGAUGCCAAAUGGCAUUGCUGGUUCUCAGUUUUUGUUUCCCGAAGCGUGUGUCUUAAAGCUGUUUCUCACACCAUUAAGUUCAAUAAGGACGAGCAAGCCAUGGACUCUGCCCUCAAGGAGCUGACGUGCUGUCAAGGGAGAGACACCUAGACAACUGGCUGAAGACAGUCAAGGAAAUGCAGCGCUCUUUGCAGAAACCCAGGGAGAAAGUUCGCAAAUCUUCUGAAGGAAUUAGAAAAACUUUUGCAGAUGAGGUGACAUUAGAGUCUGCCCUUGACCAUUCAAUUUAUUCCACAGAAAAUAUGUCAGAGGGAAAUGGGGAGAAAUUAAGAAGCAAACUCACAUGAGUCUCUGAACUAGUGAGGGCACGUAACUGGUUACCGGAAAUAAAUCAGGAGAGAAGCUCCCUCCCGGAAGGACGGGAGCUGUGACUUAGGACGUUACAGUAGAAGGAAGGUCUCAUCCUUCUGUCAGCUCCCCAAUCUCUAACGAGUAAAAAAUCAUCAAAGAAAACAAAAAUGUUACACUCUAGCCACCAUUUGAGUAUUUAUUGUAUGCAAGGCAUAGUGCUAAUUUCUUUGCACAGGGUAUCCCAAUUGAUUCUGUCAACAGCUCGUACAGUUGGGUAUUAUUAUUUCCACUUUAUAGCUGGAAAAAACAAAGAUUAGCAAAGGCUAAAUAAACUUCCUGAGGUCACUUGGCUGGUGGGUGGUAUAAGAGGAUCAAAUCCAUGCUGUCUAACCCAAAGUUCACGCCUGCCCUCAGCCAGCACCUCCCACUAUCUCCAUCACACAGGGGUGUACGGGGA
rnacentral:lncRNA from 1 species